AGACAGGAUCCUUACAGAGUACGCUCGGAAAAAAAGCCUAACAGAUUCCAGAAGACGUGACAUGGUGAAGAUAUUGGUUGCACACAUGGCGAGUGAACAUGGGACGAGCCCUUCAAGGCGUGUUAAAGAGGACUACGCAAAGGGCAUCACUGCCUUGUUUCCAUACCUGGCCGAUCCCCAGGGCACUUUGGGCUAUGAGCAUUAUUACAAUCCAGUAGAUGGGGGUGGAUUUCUUGCAUGGAGAGUGAAAACGCUUCAAAAAGAAGCCUCAGAGGGACAAAAGAAAAGGAACCCU